UACGAAGGGGGCUAGCGUUGCUCGGAAUCACUGGGCGUAAAGGGCGCGUAGGCGGCUGAUCAAGUCGAGGGUGAAAGCCCGUGGCUCAACCACGGAAUGGCCUUCGAUACUGGUUGGCUUGAGACCGGAAGAGGACAGCGGAACUGCGAGUGUAGAAGUGAAAUUCGUAGAUAUUCGCAAGAACACCAGUGGCGAAGGCGGCUGUCUGGUCCGGUUCUGACGCUGAGGCGCGAAAGCGUGGGGAGCAAACAGG
rnacentral:rRNA from 1 species